ensembl:lncRNA LINC00963 long intergenic non-protein coding RNA 963
GUGCUAAGAAAACUGCCCCACAUCAUCUGCAGUAGGACGGGGGAGUUGGAGCCCUGGUCAGGCCACUCUGCUACUGACCACAGUUUUCUCAUCUCUAAAAAGGCGCAGUAACAAUAUAAUUACCGUAUGCAGUCCCCCAGGAUACAGGGUCAAAGGAGAGCACAACCAUCGCAGUUGGAAGCCCAUGGGGCAGCCCAGUGCAGAUGCAUCUGACUUACGAAACUUCAGUGACACCUGCUCUGUGCCAGACACUGAAGAUGGAGCAGUGAACAGCACUGACCCAGCCUGUCCUCCUGUUGCCUGCAGGCCAGACGGAGUCUCACUCUGUCACCAGGCUGGAGUACAGUGGUGUGAUCUCGGCUCACUGCAACCUCCGCCUCCCAGGUUCAAGCGAUUCUCCUGCCUCAGCCUCUCAAGUAGCUGAGAUUACAGACGUGUGUCACCAUGCCCUGUUAAUUUUUGUUUGUUUGUUUUGUUUUUUGUUUUGUUUUGUUUCGUUUUUUGUUUUUUUUUUUUGAGACGGAGUCUUGCUCUGUCGCCCAGGCUGGAGUGCAGUGGCCCCGAUCUCGGCUCACCGCAAGCUCCGCCUCGCGGGUUCAUGCCAUUCUCCGGCCUCAGCCUCCCGAGUAGCUGGGACUACAGGCAUCCGCCACCACACCCAGCUAAUUUUUUGUAUUUUUUUUAGUAGAGACGGGGUUUCACUGUGUUAGCCAGGAUGGUCUCGAUCCCCUGACCUUGUGAUCCACCCAAGGCCUCGGCCUCCCAAAGUGCUGGGAUUACAGGCAUGAGCCACCGUGCCCGGUCAAUUUUUAUAUUUUUUGUAGAGACAGGGUUUCACCAUGUUGGCCAGGCUGGUGUCGAACUCCCGACCUCAGGUGAUUGUCGGCCUUGGCCUCCCAAAGUGCUGGGAUUACAGGCGUGAGCCACCGCGCCCAGCCGGUGGGCAGCCAGUUGUGUUCCGGGAGGAGGAGGACACCCUGGAAAGACAGUGGGGCCAGACACUGAACUGCCUUUGGAAGCAAGUAGGAGCAACAGCGAAGGUUUGCUGGCUCAGAAGCAAGGUCUCGCUGUGUUACCCUGGCUGGAGUGCAGUGGCUACUUACAGGCAUGAUCAUAGCAUACUGCAGCCUCGAACUCCUGGACUAGAGCAGUUCUCCUGCCUCAGCCUCCAGAGCAGCUGGGACUGCAGACACGCACCACAGAGCCCAGCCUGAGUCAUUUUGAUUCUGUAACUGGCUUCCUCUCGGCGGGCAGGCUCACACCCUCCACCCCCAGCUGGAGAUGGAAGGAGGAUGCUCACCGCCCAUUCCUCAUGCAGGCCAUCGAUGGAAAUGUCAGACAGUGCGAGUCCACGCCUGAACACUUCUGGGGUCCGCUCUGGGACUGACACUGGCAGAUCCAUCGAUGCCGUUCCAUUGUUUGCUGACUUUCAUUGAUUCUAUGAGAAGUCUGCAGUCUUUUGCAGCGUUGUUUUCCUAUGUAUAAUUGUCUCCUCCCACCCCACUCACCCCAGCUGCUUUCCACAUUCUCUCUCUUUGAUUUUCAGCAGUCUGCCCAUGAUGUGCCUAAAUAGGACUUUCUUUGCAUUCAUCUUGGCUGGGGCUCACUGAACUUUCUGAAUCUGUAGAUUAAUUUUCUUUUUUCAAUAAACCUU